CCUACGGGAGGCAGCAGUGGGGAAUAUUGCGCAAUGGGCGAAAGCCUGACGCAGCGACGCCGCGUUAGGGAUGAAGGUCUUCGGAUUGUAAACCUCUGUCAGCAGGGAAGAACGGUCACUUUGCUAAUCAGUAGUGAAUUGACGGUACCUGCAAAGGAAGCACCGGCUAACUCCGUGCCAGCAGCCGCGGGAAUAAGGUGGGUGCGGGCGUUAAUCGGAAUUACUGGGCGGAAAGCGCUCGUAGGAGGUAUGUCAAGGCAAGGGUGAAAUCCGCGCGCUUAACGUGGGAACUGCCUUUGAAACUGGCAAACUGGAGUAUGUGAGAGGAUAGUGGAAGUACAGGUGUAGGAGUAAAAUCCGUAGAUAUCUGGAAGAACAUCAGUGGCGAAGGCGACUAUCUGGCACGUAACUGACGCUGAGGAGCGAAAGCGUGGGUAGCAAACAGGAUUAGAUACCCCUGUAGUC
rnacentral:rRNA from 1 species